UCCUGGUGGCUCAGAUGGUAAAGAAUCUGCCUGUGAUGCAGGAGACCUGGGUUCGAUCCCUGGGUCAGGAA
rnacentral:tRNA from 1 species